GGACCAUUAGCUCAAUUGGUAGAGCACCUGACUCUUAAUCAGGGUGUUACAGGUUCGAGUCCUGUAUGGUCCACCA
rnacentral:tRNA from 3 species